UCUACUUCCUGAUGACGAGACAGGGGAGCAGCCCCAGGGAGACCACUAACAGCUCUGUCAUGUAUGAAAACUCUGAGGGGCUGAAGGAUCACAUGAUGUACAUGAACCUGCCUGCUGGUCACCAGGUCAGUCUGUCACACUGUAGCCACACUGACCGCUGUCUAACUGUCCACACACCUGUCUCUCCUCUCCUGCCUGUCUCUCUCUCACACUGUAGCCACACUGACCACUGUCUAACUGUCCACACUCCUGUCUCUCCUCUCCUGCCUGUCUCUCUCUCACACUGUAGCCACACUGUCAGCUGUCUAACUGUCCACACACCUGUCUCUCCUCUCCUGCCUGUCUCUCUCUCACACUGUAGCCACACUAACCACUGUCUACCUGUCCACACACCUGUCUCUCCUCUCCUGCCUGUCUCUCACACUGUGCUCACUGUCAGCUGUCUGACUCUCCACACACCUGCCUGUCUGCAGACGAGAGGUCUAUCAGGCUCCAGCUGGUUUUGUGGUGAUCAUGAGAUAAGAGACCCAGCCUCUCAGACAAUGGGCUGAGUGUGAGCAGGUUGUUCAU
rnacentral:lncRNA from 1 species